rnacentral:rRNA from 1 species
UACGUAGGGGGCAAGCGUUGUCCGGAAUCAUUGGGCGUAAAGCGCGUGUAGGCGGCUCGGUAAGUCUGCUGUGAAAGUCCAGGGCUCAACCCUGGGAUGCCGGUGGAUACUGUCGAGCUCGAGUCCGGAAGAGGCGAGUGGAAUUCCUGGUGUAGCGGUGAAAUGCGCAGAUAUCAGGAGGAACACCAAUGGCGAAGGCAGCUCGCUGGGACGUGACUGACGCUGAGGCGCGAAAGCGUGGGGAGCGAACAGG